GUCCUCCAUAAAUACACUGCUUAUAUGUGACUGAAUUUCUAAUUUGUUGAAAGUGAAAACUCUUACCCUGAAGGAUCAUUAUUACAAUUUCCCUGGAAGAAUAAAAUACCGCCAAGCAGCAUACCUCAGGGAAUAAAUAUACAUCAUACUUUCAUGAAAUUUGCACACAAUCCGGGUCAGGUGGUUAAUGAAGCCAUAAACUAUACUAUGUCUGAAGUACUAAACAUUACCUUAUUCAGUUGGCCUCGGCGGUGUUAAGAGAGCGGAAGAUGUUUAUUGCCAGAAGCUACCCUUCUCGCCUGGCGAGGCCCGUUGAUAGCCAGCUCUUUGUAAAUAAACAUAUAACCUUUGCAAAGGUAAUUUAAGGCCGUGCCUUAAAGAAGAUGGUAAGGUGCACGGGGAGGGAGAGCGAAAAUAAAAAAUCGCAUGAAUAAAGUCGAAGGCUGCAGGCUAGGGUGGUUAUUAAGUCCCAAGCUGUUUUUCCUUCACUUUUCCUCACCACCGAAAUAAAAACAAUUAUUGCUAUGAUGCUCUAAAAUUAGAACACAUUUGUCGUUUUUAAAGGCAGCCACAACUGAACUUGAGCUCAGCAGUAAAAGAGGAGGCAAAGCAAACAGUUGUGCCCGGGGCCUGCCCUCUCGGAGCUUGGCACCAGCCGGGGAGGAGAGCAUCGCCCCCUGGGGUGUGGGUUUAAGCGCAGGGGCCCUGGCGGAAGAGGCAUCGUAAAAGGGAUUUAAGAAAUCCCCAUGGCCCGGGCUACAGAGCGCAUCACCACCCCACAGAGAGCGCCCCUAAACCGCCCUGUGCGGGGAUCGGCUGCAGCCCCACCAGAAAGGGCUUCCCUCCCCACAAUCACAGGGGAGUCUGUGCGUGGUCCCAAGAGCACCACUAGAAUCAUGCAGAACCUACCAGCUAUGCCGCAGCGAGCAAUUCAUCUGAGGCCGACCCACUGUUCGCCAGGGCACGGGCUACGUCUGGGUUCUGUUCGCGCUUACAAGGGCCCGCUGAGCACAGAUGACCAUGGAAGAAACAAACACACUGAAGAGGCUCCUGCCAACAACAUUCUCCGGGCGGCUGGAAGAAAAACAUACCGCCAAAGGCAAAGCGAUGUUUAGCCUGCACUUAAAAAUGCAACUCCCCUUUCCUCUCCUGUUUCGAAACUCAUUCGCCCCGUGGCACCGUCGGUGUUCAAACUUCACCCAAAUGUAUGAGCAGCUAGAUAGAAUAUGUGACGAUUGGGAUUCGAUUUUCAGAUGAACCACGAAGCUGGAUGAGCUCAUGUGGUCCCAGAUGCAUUAUCUCCUCAUCUUCAGGAAGAGGCUCAUUCCCUGAGCAUGGAAGGACCUUCCUUGAAAAAGCGGGAGCAACCAUACCUAAUCCCUGCUCUGCCUGGCGAGGAGAAAGCUCAGCUACCUUCCAUGUCAGGGCAAGAACUAGAAUUCCUCUGAGAUUCUUAAAACCCUGCAGAGUAACGCCAGUAAUAUGAUUCAUCUCUGAGUGCUUAAAAAUGGAAUUUAUGGUACCAGAAGGAAAAUGAUAAACAAUUUUAAAUUCCAAAGGUGCGGGAAUGCGCUCAGUCUAAUAACCAAAAAAAAAGAGCAUGGCUUGGGGAAUGUGCAUAUAAUCAGUAAAUCUAAUUCACUUAAUCAUCUGGGUAACCGGGUAUUUAGGAAAAUAGACUAAUCAAUGGCAAAAGCCAUUUGCCAUUUAGAAGAGGUUGUAAUAUGUGGGCAAAGAGUUUUCAAACAGCAAAGAUUCCACGGGCUACUUUAUGAAUAAUUCUUAGCAUUGUGUCACUGGAGUCUUGCCAUCUAUAAAGUAAAAAGAACAUCCAUUCAUUCAGCAAGAUCUUCUCGAAAGCCAGCCUUUGGCAGCCAUGGUUCCUGUAUUCAAGGUUCCUAUAAUCAUGCAGGCUGUAACUUUACCGAAGACGUUUUAGGGAAAAUAAGUGAAUUUGAUAAAUGUCCUAAGUUAUUCAAGUGUAAGACAAAUAGCUGAUGCGUGUCUUCCAAGAGAACAUCAUCUAGUGGACAGACUUUCACACCCACUACAUCAGUGAGUCUCACGGUUUCCUCAGUUUUGGCUUCUUCACCUUCAGAAUAACAGGAAUAGAGAAGGGGGGACAGGCUGAUCUCCAAGCUCCCUUUGAGUUCUCAUCCAAUUUGAUUUUCAGGAUUUACUGAGCAAUCACAUUGUGCAAGACGCUGACCUGGGUACAGCUCCGAUCUUUCCUGAUUCGAAAAGCGAAGCAAGAUGGAAUCGUGAAGUGCUAAGGUUCCAUGGAAAUUUUUUAAAGAUUACCCAAGCAGGUGGCACCGGACAUUCUUAGAGCAGCAAAGUCUCCCUUAGCCUCGUAGAAGCAAGCUGACUUCUUCCAAAUUUUCCCAAUUUUGAUGAUUUGCAUAACCCGAUAAAAUCUUUCUGCCUUUAUUCCUGUGUUCCGCUUGCGGACCAUUUCUCAGUGGGUGUACUCGUUUGAUUUUGCUAACUCACUCUUCAGUACUUUGUUUUUAAAGUGUCAUGUUAACUACCUUUUGGAUGUGCGAGGAUGUGUAUUCAGCACAUUGCUGAGCUCAGACUGAUUGGAUUUGAUCAUGGCCUGAAUGGUCCACUCAUUUAUUCCAGAAGGGUUUAUUGAACUUUACCAACACAUCACUGCAGUCCACACAUUAGACAGCCAAUUAGAGUUAUUACCUUACUCAGGGCAGAAAAUAGAUACGUAUUAGUUAAGUUAGUGACUUCCAGUCUAAACUAACUUGAUGUAGUUCAAGUCUCCUACCAGAUUUUUAGAGUCCUGUCCAAUUCCUUUUCCUAGUCCCAUCCUUUAUCCACUUUCCAUUGUUCUGUUCCCCUCGAUUGCUUUUGCAUCCAUUAUCUCUUGUUCUUGUUUUCAAUUUCUCUUUUAAUUUUUUUUUUUUUUACUUACAAUGGAUUUUUUUACCCAGUCAUCAUGCAUGGGUAGCAAUACAUUACAUGUAUAGUUAUUCUGUGGCCCAGAAUCCUUGACUUUAAAUCAAGAUGCAAACAUCUGGGGUUCAAGGCUCCUUUCAAACUAAGACAACUUCAAGUUUCCAACUGUAUUUCGAGGUAAUUUUCUUCCAAUUUAGCCUUAGAGGUUCCUUAUUUUCUCUCAACUAUUUUGUCUUAAGCCCCCCGGAACUUCUUUCAUGAUAGUACCGUCAUCCACCUAUCAUCAUUUCUCUCUCUGCCAUUCCUUUAUCUUUGCCAAGCUUCUAAACUGAAAUUGCAAAGCUAAUGUCCAGGAGGGAAUAACCUGUCCUCUGUGUUCUUAGGGAUUUUUGUUUUGUUUUAUGAGAUACUAAGUAAUCGUUUUUUUUUUUCCAUUUUCACCUUGUCAUAUGAUCUCUUAUUCCAACCAACAGAGUUUAUCUUUCCCCAAAUCAUUCAUUGGCAAAACCAGUACUCAACUAUUCAUCAGGCUGGUUGCAACGCCCAUGCUCUUUCUAGUUAUCAUUAAGAGAAAAUACAAAAGAAAAAUCAUGAGACUUUAAAUACUAUUUUUCUAAGUAGGCUCCAUGCCUAAUAUGGGGCUUGAACUCAUGACCGUGAGAUCAAGAGUAGCAUGCUCUACCCACUGAGCCAGCCAACUGCCCCUAAAGACUAAUUUUAAGUGGGUAGAAAGAGAGAAAGGAACAUCACUAACAGAAAUAAAGGAGACUUUUUAUUAGUCUUUGUGUUAGGC
ensembl:lncRNA